AAUCGUGGCCAAACCUCAUUGUCAAAGCCUGAUCUCGUCAGAUCUCAGAAACUAAGCUGGGCCGGGUCUGGUUAAUACUUGGAUGAGAGACCACUGAGAAUACCAGAUGCCACAGUGG
ensembl:rRNA 5S_rRNA 5S ribosomal RNA